GGCCUGGUGGCGGAAUGGUAACGCGUGCAAGACAAAUACCGACUCCCACAACGUUUCCUCGCAAGGUCUCCGUUCGAUUCGGAGUCUGGCCC